rnacentral:rRNA from 1 species
GCGGCCUAUCAGCUAGUUGGUGAGGUAAUGGCUCACCAAGGCAACGACGGGUAGCCGGCCUGAGAGGGCGACCGGCCACACUGGGACUGAGACACGGCCCAGACUCCUACGGGAGGCAGCAGUGGGGAAUAUUGGGCAAUGGAGGAAACUCUGACCCAGCGACGCCGCGUGCGGGAUGAAGGCCUUCGGGUUGUAAACCGCUUUCAGUAGGGAAGAAGCGAAAGUGACGGUACCUACAAAAGAAGCACCGGCUAACUAUGUGCCAGCAGCCGCGGUAAUACAUAGGGUGCAAGCGUUGUCCGGAAUUAUUGGGCGUAAAGAGCUCGUAGGUCGUUUGUUACGUCGGAUGUGAAAACCUGAGGCUCAACCUCAGGCCUGCAUUCGAUACGGGGCAAACUAGAGUUUGGUAGGGGAGACUGGAAUUCCUGGUGUAGCGGUGGAAUGCGCAGAUAUCAGGAGGAACACCAAUGGCGAAGGCAGGUCUCUGGGCCAUUACUGACACUGAGGAGCGAAAGUUCGGGGAGCGAACAGGAUUAGAUACCCUGGUAGUCCGAACCGUAAACGGUGGACGCUAGUUGUGGGAACCUUCCACGGUUUCCGCGACGCAGCUAACGCAUUAAGCGUCCCGCCUGGGGAGUACGAUCGCAAGAUUAAAACUCAAAGGAAUUGACGGGGCCCCGCACAAGCAGCGGAGCAUGCGGCUUAAUUCGACGCAACGCGAAGAACCUUACCAAGGCUUGACAUAUAGAGAAAAGUGGCAGAGAUGUCAUGUCCGCAAGGGCUCUAUACAGGUGGUGCAUGGUUGUCGUCAGCUCGUGUCGUGAGAUGUUGGGUUAAGUCCCGCAACGAGCGCAACCCUCGUUCUGUGUUACCAGCAUUUAGUUGGGGACUCACAGGAGACUGCCGGGGUCAACUCGGAGGAAGGUGGGGAUGACGUCAAAUCAUCAUGCCCCUUAUGUCUUGGGCUGCACGCAUGCUACAAUGGCUGGUACAAAGUGCUGCAAUACCGCAAGGUUGAGCGAAUCACAUAAAGCCAGUCUCAGUUCGGAUUGGGGUCUGCAACUCGACCCCAUGAAGUCGGAGUUGCUAGUAAUCGUAGAUCAGCAACGCUACGGUGAAUACGUUCCCGGGGCUUGUACACACCGCCCGUC